GCUCCACGGUUGUCAUGACAACACCUGUUGGACAGCAGGGGAGGGGGGGGGGGCAAUGGUGGCCUCUCACAACAGCUCACUUUGACCAGGUGCAGAGUUGAAGCUGUCUGUAGAGUUGAAAACAUCCGUUACCAUGAGGUACCUUGACUUGCAGCCCGGUCUGGUAAUCCAUGCAGUGGCUUCACAACAGGAGGUGGCACAGGAGGAGGAGACUGACAUCUACCUGAAGCUCCUUAUCUGCAGCUUUGGCGAGUUCAACGGCCAGGGAAUCCAGCCGCUGCCUCACCGGCCCGUCCACCGACAGCACAUGAGCCAGCUCACACAGUGAAGGGUAGAGCUUGAAGCACCAGAGAGGAAAUGAUUCAUUCAAAUUCAGUGUCACAGAAACAACACAGCACAGAGGGAAUGUUCUACCUGUUCGGCGGUGCUGGUGACGAGACCCUGGUGCAGACGCAGGGCCUGGCGUUGAGAGAAACGCUGAGUCUGGUUGUUCCUCACCAGCGCUCGCUGGAUCUGUGACCAAUGAACAACACCUACAUUACUGAAUGUGGGCUUAAAAAGGGGAACUGCGGUACGCCUGGCUGAUGUCACUCAGAGGAAGAGGCAUGUACUGCAAUGUAAAGUUACUAAAAAAUGGAAACGAAGAAGGAGAGAAAUCAAAGAAAAGGGCUUUGCUCAGCAUCUUGGCCCCGAUGUCGUCCAUGCUGUUGCCACUCAGGUCCACUUUUCUCAGGCAGGUGUUGCUGCCCAGGGCAUUGACCAGUACGGUCCCCCUGGAGCGCAGACGGGACUCGGUCAGUGACAGUGUCUGCAGGGCCUGGAGGGGGAGAUUAGAAGAUGGCAUAAAAAGUCAAAGUGUUUGAGGGAGGGGUGUCUGGAGAGAGCUGGCAGCACUGUGAUCAUGUCUGCAUCAAAACCUGUCCUUGUCUGCCUGAGGACGAGGAGUCAAAGUCACAGAAAGAACAUUCUGCUGCUGCACGCCACUGGCCUCCUGUACCGUUGUCGGAGAUAUCCAGAGUGCCAAUGGAUGAUACCCGUGGGAGGAGCUCCUGGAUUACAGCAGCCCCUGCAGUCCUCAGCUAGAGAAAGAGAGAAGAUACAGUCGUGAAGUCCUACCUCACAGCCACUGAUGUCCAGAUGAAGGUCAUUGAUGUGUGGGUUUGUGGUCAACCCUGUGAGAAGAGCCCUGGAGGAAGGAGAGGACCAAAUCCAGUUGGUGUGGGUCAGAUAAAAGCAGACAGUGCUACAUGUCCUGCACCAAGGGGCCAAAUCUGCAUGUUACCUGUCGUCAGAUCACAGCCUCUACAAAACCAAGAGACCAGGUACCAAACGUCUUCUAACAUUCUCUGAUGAGAUGUUUGAACGCAGUAGCAGCAAUGCAACAGGAUAAACAUCAGCGUCAACCUUGAUGCUGCAGAUGAACUUGAUAGUUGAUUUAUCAAUUAUCUUCCUGAUGCUCUCUGUGGAUGGAAGACACACAGCGUCACGUCAUUAUCAACAAAAUCAAACUUGACAGGCCAAAGCUACAUGUGCUGUCAUCAUUGCUCCACCAUAUGCACUGUUGUCUGACCACUUGUGCGGGCAUCAGGGUGUAUCAUCCACAGAGACGCCUUCCCGUCAAAUACCAUCACUGUUGCCGCUCUGACCUCUGACUUAUGUACAGCACGUCAGCUGCUUGCUGCACCGAGGGAAGUGAUUUACUCACAGGGCGAGAACACAUGGCACUGACACUAAUAUCACAGAAAAAUACAGUCUGUGGCACGAAUUACAUGAUUCAGCCUCUCUAUUUCUGUGCCAGCACUGCAUCCCGGCUGACAAGAGCUAAUCAAUAGCAGCAAAGCAGCCUGGGCUGGUGGGAUUGGAAACCUGAGUGGAUACAAUAACACUAAGAUGCUAAAGCAAGACCUCCUGUUAAUGAAGCAGGCUUACUGUAGCCGUGUUUUUGGAGGCAGAAAAAUGUGUAAGGUGCACCCGGUUAACGGGGAUGGCUCCGGACUCAGAGCUAAUGAUAUUGUUUGUGCUGUUGCCAGGAGCCAGUUUGAGACACUAGAACUUGUUCACACAGAUUUUUAGCCAAUUAACUGGAGCCUGGUUUGAUACACACCAGAGUCUAUGUUAAAUCAAUGAAAUGUUUGUUAUAAAGCAAGUCGCAAAGGAAAACUAUAGUUUGUGUAGUAUAAAAAAAAGUUCACCCUUUACUUGGAGGACAGCACACAAAAACAUCCAUUUUAAUAGCUUUUAAUAAGCUUCCUAAGAAGCCAUUAGUGGGUUAAUAAAAUAUUUGAAGUUGACACAACCUACUGAAUACACGUGUCCACUUCUUCCACUUUUCUUUUCACAACUGAUCUGACAUGAGACAUGUAAAAGCUUUUUGUUUUUAUUCCUAAAACAAAUUAGGAUGUACACAUAAACUAACUAGCAUCCAUAUACAGAACAAUCAAGGUCAUUAUAACACAGUUCUGUUGUUCUAGGUCACUGAGUACUGUCUAGGUUACUCCCUGUACAUUUUUAUUUUAUAAAAGGUUACAACACAAAGAGCAGGGCCAGCCCUUUAAGCUGGUCAGGGCAAUAAGGUAACACUUGGUGUGUGUGUUCAAUUUUCAUUUUUAAGUAUUUUUCCAGUUAAGUACAUGAAGUUGCAUGAAUAUGACUAUGACUUUAUAUCAACUAUACAGUGUGUAAUGGCUGUUUCUGUUAAAACUGUGUCAUUCUUUUCCCUUUUCCCUGAGGAAUCCAUUUUUUUACUCUGGACAGUAGCAGAGAUCGAGACCUGUGAGGUAAAUGAACACAGUUGAGGUACGGCAUAACGUCCUUGUCUUUUCUUUUCCUUUGACAGAUUUCUGUGACCUUGAACACGUGCUCCUGUGUAAAAAUGUGGAUUUUAUUUCUGGAGUGUGAAGGUUUUAUAUAUGAAGCAUUUUUCUGUUAGUUGAAUCUUUGUCUAAGUAAGUAAAGAUCCAUUAGUCAAUAUGAUGGAAUAGUGUGUGUUUUGGGAGUUUGUUAAUUAUCAUUAGUAAUGCAGUGGCCUAAUUCAUUCAAAGCCCAAAGUAGUGGUUAAUGUUUGUUUUUGUUUUUUUUUUGUUUCCAGGUGAAAUCCUUCCCUCUGCUUCUAGAUGAUUGUUUCUUUUCCUUUGUGAAUACUGUAUAAGGACAAGUUUAUCUGCUUACCAGCAGGUGGCAUUGCUGGUACCUAAAGUUUAAAGUGUGGCCAUUGAAACUCAAUGAAAAAGCAACUAUGCCAGUUGGCCAUGUUUUGACAGAAAGGAAAUCUUGACUCAGCUCACCAGUGACCUUGUGCAGGUUGCAAGACUCCAGGCCAUCUUGGCCCCUAAUGUCAUGUCGGUGCACACUGAUAAAAAAGAGAGGAGGAAGAGGAGGAUGUGCUGCUUCUCAGCAGGUGAAUAAAUCAAGGAGCAGGGAUUCCAGUGGAUUAAUCAUCACAGUAGGUCUAAUAGAGCCAUUAGGAGUAAUUAACACAGCAGCCAAGUCCCCUGCUCCACCCUGGGUGAACAUGUGAGUGUUUGACACUUCACUCCCAACUCUGAAAUGUUUGAGCUUUGUGGAAGAAGAAGAAGAAGAAGAAGAGUUUGAUUUUUCAUGCAGCCCACUGCAUUUUGGACCGGAUGUAGUCAACAUAUGCCUUUACUUGGACUUUUACACGGUAGUAUUCAAAAGACCUCUACGGUUAGUAAGGCAGAGCUAUAACACACACCGUGUUAAAGGGGAGGAAACAGCGUGAAAAAGCAGGACACCAUGAGAGUCCAGAGUGCACGCACACGCACGCGUAUCAUUUCCACAACGCCCCUUUUCCUCUCUGGCCUAAGGCUGGGUGUUUAGCACCUGAUCUCAGCCAAGGAGCAGAUUGAAACCCCCGAUAAAGGAUGCGGUGAUGCAUUAAUGUACGCACGGUAAAUGGAUCACCUCCAAAUGAACCAAUUCCGUCCACAUGCACUGAGACAAUAGAGCAGCUCCUCUGGAGCAGACGCUCCAAGCCCCGGGACAGAGCGUAAAGGUGCAGCUCAUCAUGACAAUGAUCCAAUGCGUCUGCUUCGGUCACAGCCUCCAGCAGACGCGCACAGGAGAGGCAUCCACAAACACACACAGCAACUCAGGCAUGCACGAAAAGCAGACACGAGUGCGACGUGUUAACCCGCAACAAGACACGGGCGCAAAAUUCAGCCAAGCGGCGCUCUUUACCCACCUGUGAUGUCCUUGUUCACACUGACGAAUCCAGAGGCAAUGAUCUCUUUAGAAGCCAUGUCUGCUCCUGUGUCCCUCUACAACACUACCCCUCCUGCCGAUGCCCUCGCUCUCUCUCGCUCUUGCCCUCUCUCUCUCCCCCUCUCUCUCUCCCCCUCUCUCUCCCGUUUGUCAGACGCACUUCCAGGAACAGACCCUGUGGAUGUCGGGAGAAAGGAUGAGGGAGAGACGCUGGAGGAGGAGGAGGAGAGGCAGGGGUGAGGAGACAGAGGGGCGUGGAUCAUCACAGAGCUAUAAUGAGGCGGUGGUAGUUACCUGUGGAUGCAAAGAUCAUUACCCACUAGCUGUAUGGAUGCUACUUCACACAAGGAAGGAAAAGUCUCAUCAAGAUGACCAGCCCUAUCUGUGAUGCACUGUGUUGUGACUUGGACUGCUUCCUGAGACACAUUAUUAUUCUGUCUCCUACAGUACACAGUACACAGUACACUUAAACUGCUGUGGACUUCAGAAACACACUCUUUUUUUUAUAAGAACAACAGAGGAACAUCCAACAUUUCUUUGGAAGAAUGUACACCAUGCAGCUGCUCGGUGAGUAACAGUGCUGAAUUGAAACCCACCCUGAAUGUCGUCUGACAUCCAGUGCACUCUUUUACUUAGCUGUCAGUGCAGUGUAGAAGUGUAGUUCGUACGGUUUUCAGGGUUGUAAAUGUAACCUGUCUGUUACUGAGCGGCUAGGUGAUUAAAACGAAUAAAAUAAUGUUCACUAAUGCCAAUCAGUGGUUAAUGGUUAUAAUUUUAAUAAAG